rnacentral:lncRNA from 1 species
CUGUGCAGCCGACACAUCUUCGACUGCUUCCUCGACCGCCCGUUCCUCGGACGGGGCUGCUCCUUCGACCGCCUGUUCCUCGGAUGGGGCUUCGGGAGGCACCGACAGCGCAAUGAUCGGCUCACGAUCCGAUGCUCGUUCGGAGUCGGACUGCGCUCCCGUCGCCGCAGGCUCGCUCGGCAGUGCUACCUGAGGCCUUUUGGGAGGCCGCGAUAGUUCAACUCCGUGCGCUGGCCUCUUCCGCGUCGCAUGUUGCCGAACAUCGGCUUCCGUCAGCCUCACCC